rnacentral:rRNA from 1 species
ACGGGAGGCAGCAGUGGAGAAUCUUGCACAAUGGGGGAAACCCUGAUGCAGCAACGCCGCGUGAAGGAAGAAGGCCUUUGGGUCGUAAACUUCUGUUCUAAGGGAAGAUAAUGACGGUACCUUAGGAGCAAGUCCCGGCUAACUACGUGCCAGCAGCCGCGGUAAUACGUAGGGGGCGAGCGUUAUCCGGAAUUAUUGGGCGUAAAGAGUACGUAGGCGGUUUGCUAAGCGCAGGGUUUAAGGCUAAGGCUUAACCAUAGUUCGCCCUGUGAACUGGCAGACUUGAGUGCUGGAGGGGAAAGCGGAAUUCCUAGUGUAGCGGUGAAAUGCGUAGAUAUUAGGAGGAACACCAGUGGCGAAGGCGGCUUUCUGGACAGUAACUGACGCUGAGGUACGAAAGUGUGGGGAGCAAACAGGAUUAGAUACCCUGGUA